AGUCGAGCGGAUGAGAGGAGCUUGCUCCUCGAUUCAGCGGCGGACGGGUGAGUAAUGCCUAGGAAUCUGCCUAGUAGUGGGGGACAACGUUUCGAAAGGAACGCUAAUACCGCAUACGUCCUACGGGAGAAAGUGGGGGAUCUUCGGACCUCACGCUAUUAGAUGAGCCUAGGUCGGAUUAGCUAGUUGGUAGGGUAAAGGCCUACCAAGGCGACGAUCCGUAACUGGUCUGAGAGGAUGAUCAGUCACACUGGAACUGAGACACGGUCCAGACUCCUACGGGAGGCAGCAGUGGGGAAUAUUGGACAAUGGGCGAAAGCCUGAUCCAGCCAUGCCGCGUGUGUGAAGAAGGCCUUCGGGUCGUAAAGCACUUUAAGUUGGGAGGAAGGGCUCAUAGCGAAUACCUGUGAGUUUUGACGUUACCAACAGAAUAAGCACCGGCUAACUUCGUGCCAGCAGCCGCGGUAAUACGNNNGGUGCAAGCGUUAAUCGGAAUUACUGGGCGUAAAGCGCGCG
rnacentral:rRNA from 1 species